UACGUAGGGUGCAAGCGUUGUCCGGAAUUAUUGGGCGUAAAGAGCUCGUAGGCGGUCUGUCACGUCGGCUGUGAAAUCCCCGAGGCUCAACCUCGGGUCUGCGGUCGAUACGGGCAAACUAGAGUAUUGCAGGGGAGACUGGAAUUCCUGGUGUAGCGGUGAAAUGCGCAGAUAUCAGGAGGAACACCGGUGGCGAAGGCGGGUCUCUGGGCAAUAACUGACGCUGAGGAGCGAAAGCGUGGGGAGCGAACAGG
rnacentral:rRNA from 1 species